ACCCUUGCAUAUUGAACAUUCAACACCUUUGCACAUAAACAUACACAUGGAACAUCUAAAAUUUAGAUGUCAAGAGAAAAAUUCGCUUUCCAAAGUCACUUGGUCGAUAUUGAAUUUUUUCAUCCAACUAAAUGCUCAAAAUUAUAUCCAACUUCCCACCUACCAAACCAAAUAGCAUAACUGCUCAGAGCAAGAAGACCCCAAUCACAUUUCAAAACUUGUAAUAACUAAGUUCAUAAACAUGGACAGUAAAGAUAGCUAGCUGGGUUCCAAAAUCCCAGAAUUGUCAAAUCCAUGGACACAACUUGGCUUAACUUCCCUCGGCAAGAGUGGUUACUGUUGGGCUGAGACCUGAGGAAGGGAAACACAAGCAUGUGACCAUCAUCAAUUUUCUAUGCACUUUCCUCUGUUUCCCAGGACGACAAGACUUCCCCUCUCAGUGGGUGAGAGAAUUCAGAUUCCACAUUCCAGAUUCCUGCAACCUACACAGAGAGAGCCUUAGCUGGAAAAUGAUCAGAUGAAUAUUAACCAUCCCUAAGCAAGAAAUGUUAAAUUUCUUCUAUCAGAGGGGAAACAUUCUCCAGGCAGUUUCUCUGGAUAAUACCAAGCCAAAGCAUAAAUCUUUUUCAAAAAAAUUCAUAUGGGUCCAUUUGUCUUAACGUGUAUAGCAAAUAAUCUAACGAGGAGAAACUUCCAAAAGGGGAAAUUCCGUUCAAUGUGCGGGGGGAUUUAUUGAUUCAGACCAGUCACAAUCUCCAUUUGGCAAAGGGUAAGAGAAACAAUAAUGAUGCUGGCCAGGAGGGAGAUUGCCUCUCCUCUUUCUGUUUUGUAUUGAUCCAAUGACUAGCCUAUAGCCAGUAAAUGCAGUGAUGUUAUAUAUUAGUGGAAUCCAACUGUUAACCUAAGCCAACUAUGGAAAAGAAUAGACAAGAAUAGACCUACUGGAAAUCAUAAACAUGCAAAAAACCGCAAUUAAUUGCAGAAAGAAAAGCACAAAAUGACCCUUUUUUGGAUCAAGGGUUUUUAUAAAAAUUGUUACUUUAAUGACACAGCUAGGGGUUGAAAAAGCACACGUUGAGAUCACUGUUUGAUCACUAUUAAGAAUAUCAACAGUUUCCUUUCUCUCUGUGUUGUAGCAACCUUGAGAGCUACUAGUGCUGGUUCUUCACCUAUAAUGGCCAGAGGAGUAAAGGAGCAAGAGGGUAUUCUUAUAAAGGUGAGCUGGCCAUUUAAGAAUGGAUAGAGGGUCCAAUUUAUAAAAAAGCUCUCUCAUUUCUUUUACCACUCUACAAAAAGCUUUGUCCUUUAGUGUUUAAAAACUAUAUGGUUCUAGGAUUGGACAGGUGGUGAAAUCUUCCUUAUGGAAGGAGGGGUUUUUAUUUUCAUCUGUACAGUUGAGUUCCCAGUCUUUAAUAAAUGGUCAUAAGUUGUAAUUCCCAAAGUGACUACUACUAGUUCCCCUGGCUACUACUACUGGCUAGAGGAUGAGUUUUUAUCUCAUACUGUGAAACUCUAAUGUCUUCUCUCUUUGCAGUGUUCAUCAUUCCACAUUUGUUCUCUUGCCUUUCUUCCCUAGCUACAAGAAUGAAUUCUUCUUCCCAUGUUCUUGGAAGUUCAAAGAAUUUGAGUGGGACUAAAGCCAUUGAGUCUGGCUGGACAGACUAUCUUGGCUCCUGGUGCUAUGAAGAUGAAGAUUGCAUGCAUAAAAAACAAGUGAAUCACAAGAAUACUGGCUAUGGCUAUAGAAGUGAUGAAGAAGAUGAUGAUGAAGGAGAGAGCGAUGACUCCAUGGUCUCAGAUGCCUCAUCUGGCCCAAGUCAUUCUGAACUUCCAAGCACCCAAAAGAAGGCUGUGUUUUGCUCAUCAAGGAAAGACCAUAAAUUUGGGAAGCAAAGAGAUGAAGCAAGGAUCAAGGUGGAUAAAGAAGAGUACAUGGUAUAUGCAAAAAGUGCAGCUAGCGACAAUGGAUUGAAGGUUCGGAAAACCAAGAAGAUGGAGCUUAAAACAGAGAAGGUCUAAUCUUUCUGUUUUCUUAUUGGGAUGAACUGUUAGUGGGUUUUUGUUCUUUUUUUAAUUUAUUGUAGCAUCAUUCUUCAGUUUGACUGUAAGCAAAAUUACAAAAUGUGACCAUGUACAAUAUCCUAUGAGGGAAUGCAAGUCAUGAGUCAUGACACCUCAAGCCUCAACUCUCUCUUUAGUGUAGAUUCAAGAAUUUCACUCUAAUUGUUGAGUACCUGAACUUGGCAGAGUUUAAUUUUGGAUCAGAGAUGUAAAUCUCCAUAGUCUUAGUAUCAUGUACAUGUUUUGCAGUCUAGAUAACUAAACUUCCAUCUUCAUUUUUAGUCUCUCUUGGUUUGUGCUUACGUGUGUUAGUAUACAAGAAACAAGCAUUCAGGACAACCUAUCAGUCGACUGUCGAGCCAUAAUCCGCGAAGCUACUUCAGUUUGAAACUUAAAUUUGGGUUUAAGAAGGGUGGAAAGGGCUACCUACCAAUUGAGCUUUCCCAAACUCAACAGAAAACACAAGGGAAGAAAAACUAAAUUCCAGUUAAGUGCGUGAGAGGGUCUUUGAAAAUAAGGAUUUAGCAGUUUAGGAAUUAUAACAGUAAGCAAACAUGUGACACAGAUAAGACAAGAGAACAUUAAUGAGCUAUGGAUCAGCAACCUCAAAUCGCAUAGGAGAGUUAAUAAUGCAGGCGUACCUGUACGUGUCAAGAGAUCUGAAAACACAAGGCAGAAUGCAUCAUGUAAUGACCUUCUACGCUUGAGACACUUGGCGUAAACUGGAAGAGGAAGAGAUAAAUAUCACGAAACGAAAAAUUGCCAUCUUGGCAUCCAAGAGUGAUUAUCCAACUGCGAAAUGAAGUCACCCUCAGAGGAACUACCUAUAUUCACAAGUUGGGAUUGUUUCACUAACAGACAAGGGUAGUAUUUUGUUUGCUAAUCAUCACAUAACAUAAUAAUCAGGAAGCAUUACUCUGAAACUUCAUAUGUGAUUAUCGCAGAGUGCCCGGGUAUCCUUCUUUCUGUUGAUACUUUGUAU
rnacentral:lncRNA from 1 species